rnacentral:sRNA from 1 species
GCUAUCUGUACGUCAGGCAGAUUCGAACCUGCGGCAGGUUCGGGUCGAGCCAUUCAUGGCGAGACACCGGAGCCGUUUAUGGCAACGGCCCGAAGGGCGAGCGAAGCGAGUCAUCCUGCACGACUCACCA